rnacentral:misc_RNA from 1 species
AUUUCUUGCGAGUAGCGCUUGCAUCUGCGAGCUCCUUGCGAAAGUCUAUUCAAUACUUUCGCAAGGAGCUGGCAAAUAAUGAAUAUUAUUUUUUAUCACCCA